UACAGAGGGUGCGAGCGUUUAAUCGGAAUUACUGGGCGUAAAGCGCACGUAGGCGGCUUGGUAUGUCGGGUGUGAAAUCCCCGGGCUCAACCUGGGAACUGCAUCCGAAACUGCCUUGCUCGAGUAUGGGAGAGGGAAGUGGAAUUUCCGGUGUAGCGGUGAAAUGCGUAGAUAUCGGAAGGAACAUCAGUGGCGAAGGCGACUUCCUGGACCAAUACUGACGCUCAGGUGCGAAAGCGUGGGGGAGCAAACAGG
rnacentral:rRNA from 1 species